GCUUGUCUCAAAGAUUAAGCCAUGCAUGUCUAAGUAUAAAUGAUAUACAGUAAAACUGCGAAUGGCUCAUUAAAACAGUUAUAGUUUAUUUGGUAAUCGAAUUUACAUGGAUAACCGUGGUAAUUCUAGAGCUAAUACAUGCUGUAAAGCCCGACUUCUCGGAAGGGCCGUAUUUAUUAGAUAACAGACCAAUAUUCCUCGUGUCUAUUGUGGUGAAUCAUAGUAACUGAUCGGAUCGCAUGGGCUACGCCCGCGACAAACCAUUCAAGUUUCUGCCCCAUCAGCUUUCGAUGGUAGGAUAGAGGCCUACCAUGGUUUUAACGGGUGACGGAGAAUUAGGGUUCGAUUCCGGAGAGGGAGCCUUAAAAACGGCUACCACAUCCAAGGAAGGCAGCAGG
rnacentral:rRNA from 1 species